rnacentral:rRNA from 1 species
GAUGAAUGCUGGCGGCGUGGAUGAGGCAUGCAAGUCGAAUGAGUUUAUACUCAUGGCAGACGAGGUAGGAACACGUAGGUACGUACCCUAAAGUCAGGGAUAACCCGGUGAAAAUCGGAAUAAUACUUGAUGGUCCCUUCGGGGUAAAGAUUUAUCGCUUUAGGAACGGCCUGCGGUCUAUCAGCUUGAUGGUAAGGUAACGGCUUACCAUGGCUACGACGGAUAGGGGAGGUGAGAGCCUGGCCCCCACCGAUGGAACUGCGACACGGUCCAUACUCCUACGGGAGGCUGCAGUCGAGAAUCUUCCGCAAUGGACGAAAGUCUGACGGAGCGACGCCGCGUGGUGGAUGAAGCCCUUAGGGGCGUAAACACCUUUUAUGAGGGAGGAAGUUUAUUGACGUUACCUCAUGAAUAAGGGGCUCCCAACUCUG